AAUCCACCUUCAAAGAUCAAGCCCACGGCCCUUUGAAGAAACUUCCAACAGUUCAUCCAAGAUCAAGCCUCAACGGCCCUUGGAUCAAUGAAACAUCCACAAAUCAACACCUUACGAAGAUCGAAUCAGAGGAUCAAAUUUGAGAGAGAUUGUAACCCAAAAUCAUCAAAUAUAAAUAUUUGUUUGUGCACGUUGUUCUUGUCUCUUUCGUUUCAGGAAAUUUUCGUGUUCACAAAUUGGCACGCCCAGUGGGACAAUCUUUACCUCUCAUCUCUUUCUCCGUUCAAGGAAUCCAAACACACCUCAAAGUCAAUGGCAUCAAGCAAGGGACA
rnacentral:lncRNA from 1 species